rfam:Allomyces macrogynus ATCC 38327 genomic scaffold supercont3.36, whole genome shotgun sequence.
GCAUCGGCUUUUCUCAAAGCCACAAGUGUACUCGUUGCCUUGAUUG